UUUUAUUUUGAUAUUAUUUUUUAUUGUUGAAAAAAUUAAUAAUAAUUUAUUGUUAAUAAAAAUUAAAAUUUAUAAUAUUUUUAUUUUUAUUUUUUAGUUUUAAAUAAAAAAAAUAAAAUUUAUAUAUAUAAAAAUUUUGUUAUAAAUUAUAAUAGUUUAUUUAUUUGUUUUUUAUAAUAAAUAAUAGUAUUUUUUUUAUUAUUUUAUAAAAAAAAAUAAUUUAAUUAUAAUUAUUAAAAGUAAUUUUGUUAUUUAGAAUAAUAUAUUAAUAUAAAUAACAAAAAUAUUAAAUAUUUUUUAAAUUUUUUGGGGAUUUAAGUUAUAAUUUUUUGUGUCUGCUCAAUGAAUUUAAAUAGCACUUUUAGCGUGUG
rnacentral:rRNA from 1 species